UUUUAAAACAAUUAUGCUGGUUUUAUAGGAUAGGUUAACAACAUGGAUGACACUAUUUUGAAAUUGGGUGAUCUGGCAAAUGAAAAAAAUUAGAGUAGCCGGAAAUGAAAUGAAUAAAAAAGUAAGGACCUACAUGGAUGCCCCAAAAUUCAAUGUAUAAUUGUUCCCCUAAAUGGUGAAAUUCCCAAAGAUAGCUCCGGCGAAUGAAGACAGCUUCGUAACCAAAAUUCAGUCAACCUCCAUCAUCUACUCUGGGGUGAUUCUUUCAAUGGUGACUAUCAUCUCCAUUUUCCAAUAGAGCUUCGUCUGAACGUGAAGGUCCAUCUUCUUUCAUUCUAGCUUCACUUAAGCUUCGCCUAAUCGCACUAUCUUUUAGCUCCAGCUUCGUGUAAACCUAUAAUUGACCUAUUACACAGCAAGGCAUGAGCACUUUGGUUUAGUACAUUGUUCGAAUUUAUGAAAUUUGUAUGAUAUGGAUCAUGCAUCAUCCAAAAUGUCAAUGCAUCCACACUUGAAACCAUACAUUUCUAUGUUUUCUGUCAAAUUGGGGGUAGUGAAAUUUGGAACUAUGACCAUGCUGUUCACAUUAAAUAGAAGUGAAAUUUUGCAAUUUAUAUUUUUAAUUGAUUCAUUCUAUAAUUGAAUUUCAGCUCAUGAGAAUGAAUGACAGCUGAACAAAUCUAUGCAUUUGCGUUCAAAUAAAUGAUUUGUAUCGGUGUGUAUUGUAUAGUGUUCAUGUUUUGCUGAACUUGAAUAAUUAUAUUUUUUCAUAACUGAAGAAAUCAUGGAUGACGUGGAUGAUGAUAUUUUGGUGGAAUCAGUCAAUGAAAACGUGGGAGACAAUAUGAACCAAUUAAAAGAUGAAAUUGUAGAAAGAGAUGGUAGUAUUGUGCCCAAGGUAGGAAUUAUGUUCAAGGUUGAAAACGAAAUGUUUGAUUUCUACGAAAGAUACGCAUAUGUCAUUGAUUUGUCAGUUAAUGACGGAGUUUUGAAAUAUCUGACUUUGACUUGUAGUCGGGCAAAAGAAGUGAUACUACAAGCGACUCUUUGAGCCCCAAUCGACAAUUUAGACAAGUUGUAAAGUUAGAAUAUCUACAUUUUUGGAUAUUCACAGCUCUUGGAGAAUCAAAAUAGUCUACCAAGAGCAGAAUCUUAGAACAAAUCCUAUGAAGUCCAGGUCGUAUUGUUGCAAUCGAGAAUUGAGUGAGCAUGUCAACACAGUCUACCAAGAGCACAAUCAUAGAACAAAUCCUAUUAGCAUGGAAAGGGAUUGUCGGAAUUAUAUUGAACAAGUUAGGCGAUUACAACUUAGAGUAGGUGACGCCGCAGCAAUAUAAUCCUACUUUUCGACAAUGCAAUCAAGGUGCUCGGGUUUUUUUUUUUUUACUUUAGCAUGGAUUUGAAUGAAGAUUUGCAUCCAAGGAAAGUAUUUUGGCAGACAAUCGAUCUAGGCAAGCAUUUAAAAAGGGACUUUGUGACAUUUGAUACCACCUACCUGACCAAUAAGUUUGACAUGCCGUUCACCCCUUUUGUUGGGGUAAAUCACUACAAACAAUCAAUACUGUUUGAUUGUGGUUUGGUGUUGAAUGAGGAUAUAUACACUUUUGUAUGGCUAUUCACAGAAUGGCUUAAGUACAUGCACGGUCAAGCUCGACAUGGAAUAAUUACUGAUCAAGAUAGUAGAAUACAAUUUAGAUUGUAUUUCCAAAUACGAAGCACAGAUGGUGCUUGUGGCAUUUAUUAAAGAAGUUACCUAAGAAGUUUGGCUAUCAGGUGAAUAAGAAUUCAAUAUUUUUGAUUAUUCAUGGACUGAUUUAUGAUUCCCAGAUUGUUAUAGAAUUUGAAGGAGGUUGGAAAGCUUGAUUGAGUCAUAUUGAUUGCAUGAUAAUUCUUGGUUGUUAGGCCUUUAUGGUAAUAGAAGACGUUGGGUCCCUUGCUUUUUAAAGACUACAUUUUGGAUAGGAAUGUUAACAAUACAAAGAAGUGAGAGUAUGAAUGCAUUUUUUACAGAUACGUCCAUUUGAAGACAUCUUUGAAAUAGUUUGUCGAACAUUAUGAACGAGCACUAAGAAAUAAGGUUGAGAAAUAGUUUAAAUCAUUUUCACAAAUGGUACCUUGUUCCACAACUUAUGACAUGGAGAAAUAGUUUCAAUCAGUAAACACCAUUUCAAGAUUGUGAAUAAGAGAUUGUUUGACAAAGAGCAAGGAAUACCCAUCUUUCUGCUAGAUAAGAUGUAUUGAACUCAUAAUUUAAUAGAUAUUUUUUUAUGAAUGUUAACUAAGUAUUGCAAGUAAUUGCUCCCGGUUGUUCAAUCGUUUGAUAACCAGAGUCAUUUUUUGAUAAAUGAUGACUAUGACUCCGACUCAAUAUAACUUGAUCAAUCAUUUUUCUGUCAUUAAAGAGGAGAAUUGAACUGAGAAUUCUCUUUCUUUAUCGUUAAUCGAAUCACUGUUCGUGACCACUCGAGAUUCUAUUUUAUCAUCAAUCCAAUACUCGUUCACGUUUUUUUUUUUUUAAUCAAUAAAUAGAUUUCUUUACCUGUAUGAUUUAGAUAUUUCGCAUUUCUCAAAACAUGAUUUAAUUGAUGGGACUUGGUAUGAGAUCAAUGAGAUAUUCAAUUAUUUCUUUUUAGAGUGUAUUGAUUUGACCCCAUAUUGGGACCAAGUAUGUUGCCGUCAGAGACAUAACCCCGUAUUUCUUAUAAAGAAUCUCCUAAUUGUUCAAAACCAACUAGAAAGAGGUUCUUUAACUAGAAAGAAUCUGGGAUGUAGGAUACAUAUUCCGAAGUUUUCGCAACUCAAUCAUAGAUGACGAAAUCAUCAAAGAUUUGACCUAAUAGUUGUGAAUUGAUUAGUACUUUUGGUUGAUAAUGUCUUUUGACGUUGGAUCUCACUUUAUUUUUAGGUUUUGAUUAAUUUAACAUAUCUUGUUUACAUAUAUGAUUUUAUAAUAAUAAAUAAAAUUAUUUUAAUGUCAUGGGUUCAUAAUUUAAAAGUGGAUCUUGUCGAAAUUCUAAUUUUGCGCAUGUUGACUUCGUGGGUGACGAGGAGCUCUUCUCUUGCCAUUCGAAAUGUAAAUUUCUUACACACAAGGUAAAUAAACUUCCCCUGUUUUCACGCAUAUGUCAUAUGGUUAAAUGUAUGAAAGUGUUAUCUUAUUUGCCGUUAUAUUAACAUGAUAUUUAACUAUUAUGUUUUAUGUAAUUAAUAUUUCUCGUUACAUAUUUGUACAUGUCAAUGUAUCCAUAAACUUACAUGAAGUUUUGAAAAAUAAAAGUUUUCAAAUUUCAAUGAGUCAAAGAAUGUUUUUAAAGAUAUGCAUUUUGAAUGUUUUGUUACGAGGUGUAUGUCCAUGCCAUAAAAGAUGUGAGUGGGAAGGAAGGAGUGGAAGAUCGGCGCACCCGAUCAAUGUUUAAUGUUAAUGUUAGCUACUCUAUGGUACAACUGAUAAAAUGAAUGAGCUUCCAAAUAGUAAUUGUUCAUUGCAUUCUAACUGACUAGGUGAUGCACCAAAUUGAGCUCACAAGUUAAUGUUUUUAAAUAAAUGAAAGAAGAGGGGAUCCAUAAUAGAAAUGUCACUUAUUUUAAGAAAUGCAUAUGCUCAUCAUAAGCAUGUAUCAUAUGUACAGGGUUGGCUUACCGGAUGUUAGCUCAUUCUUCGUCAUCUCUCUCCAUUUUUCAAAUGAUGAGAGCUAGAUGAUACGAGCUGACUGCCUGAGGUGAGAUGGAUUUAGCAUUGUCCAAAUUGACUAUCUUAUUUCUAGUCUAAUAAGAUUAUUUGAACCCUUUUGAAAGUUAAUCAAAUUAUUAUAAAUAAAUCGUUUUGGACUAUGUAAUUGCUAAUGCAAUUGUUUAUGAUUUAUAAAUUCCGCAAUUUACGAGGUCAAUUAAGUUAAAUUGAUGUUAUUCAAAUUUAUCUACCCUGCUGUAUAUAUUUCUUAAAUGAAAACUUUGUUAACACUCGGGAACUUAAAAUUUUUUAAACUUAGGGUGUUACAGUUAACGUCCCUCAGAAAUUUGCUGUUGCUAUACAAAACCAGAAAACGGGUACACAUGUGGAGUAGCCAAUUGGUCCAAGCGUUAUUAGCUUCGAUAAAGAUGGAACCAAGGGUAUGCAGCAGGAAGAUGAGCUACAAGUUCCACUCACUUGAGGUUUUUAAUAGAAAGAAACGUAACAACAAAUCGAAGGUGUACCCAUGUUUGGAUUCAUUUUGAAUCUCUUACUUUGGAUCAUUAGAUCUUCGUAAUGUUUGUUUUGUAAGUCUGGGUAUGCUCGGAGUAGUUGCACUCUAUUUUUGAUCUAUAUAUAUUUAUUUACCGAUCAAAAAAUAAAAUCACAAGUCUUUUUGCCUUUUGUUGUGAAAUUGGUUGGCUCUUUUUGUUUUUAGAUUUUUUUAUCAGUUCAUAGAUUGAAUAUGAUGAUUCUUCAAAUUGGGUGCAAUUUUCUGUAAAUUUUGAUCAUUUUAUGUUGUAGACAUGUUUUGUGCCGAGUUAGUUGCUAUGAUGCUCCAUAUUUUGAUACACGCG
rnacentral:lncRNA from 1 species